UAAAUACUCCUUUCAAUUUCAGAUUCAAUUAAAAAAAAAACAUGCGAAAAACUUAUCUAGAAUAAUUCAUUAAUCUCUUAUGUUACAUAUGUCGAAAAAUUUUACGGUUUUAGUUGAUCCAUCCAACAUUUCGUGUUCAAGGCGGUGUUGUUUCACUUGUACAUUUUUCUACUAGAUCAUUUUAGGCAUCUCAAGUAGAAAUACUUUUGGACGAAAGUUAUAUUUCCGACAGGGAGGGUAGAAAAUAACAGGUGCAACUAAUAUGGAUUCGAGAGCUGAGGCUGCUGUGAGAAGAGAACUACAAUGUCCCUUUUGUCAAGGGACACUUUAUAGUCCACUUCGCCAAUGUAACAACGGACACAUACUUUGCAAUGACUGUGUCCCAAAAACUGACAUCUGCAAUUUUUGUGGGGCAAGCGUUGGUGCUACGAGGCUAUAUAGCUUAGAGAAAAUCCUUGCUAACAUGAAGUUUUUGUGUAAAUACGUUACGCACGGCUGUAAACAACAAAUACUCGGAUCUCAGAUUAGAGAGCAUCAGGAACAGUGUGGAUACAAGAGAAAAAAUAGGAAUCCAUUUUUUUUGGGAAAGAGAUACUUUUGAUCCAACCCUAUAUUUAAUACAAUGCAACAUUGUAAACUAGUUUAUCGGAAAGCGGAAAAGACUCUAUUUGAAAACGUGUUAAAAUGAAUAAAUGCGAGAAAAUCAAAGAAAAAUAAAAAAUAUUAAAAAUUAUCACAAAUUGGGAAAAAUCACCGCGGUUUUGAAAAAUGUACUUGUGAAUUUAAUCUCUGAAAUUUUCCCAAUAAAAUUUCUUAUAUGUAAAAUAAUUGAGUAUAAAAUAAUGUAAAUAAUAUACAUUUGUAUAAAACUAAUUCACUCGAAAUAUAUUCAAAUUUUUAAUUUUAAGCAGAAGUGAAUUGAAUAUUUAUAUUUAGUAGUUUAUAAUGAAAAUUUGGGUUUUUAAUGUGUGAUGUAAUUGUAGAUUUUAAAGUUUUUGUGUAUAUAAUAAAUCAACCCAAACUCAACA